rnacentral:piRNA from 1 species
UGAGAAAGUACAAAUGUGCUCACAUUAUGGU